AGGGUGGUGCACAAAUAAGAAAUUGUGUGCCAAUGCCAAAACAGGAAAUGGUACACAUACUGUGUCUUACAAAAAGUCCACAGCAUUGGGCUCGGAGGAUACUGGACGAUACCCCCUAUAUAGAAUAGGUCCAGUGCGGGAAAGUGUUCCUGUAUCCACUUCACACCACACAAUGGAAUUGGACGCCUAUUCCUGGGUCCCAAGUGACCAUAGACCCACAGGGUAAAAGCAUUGUAGGCCGUCUUCCUGUAGUCGUUAUAAGAGAAUAAAGAAAAACAUUUUUUGUUUACAAUUUUGAUUUGAUUUUAAGACAUG